UGCCUGUUGGUCUAUUCUGCUCACUUUGACAUUUCAACAAGAAACAACGCAGGUCAUCGACUGCCACUGUACACCUCUGCUCAUGAGAAGCACCAGACCCACAGAGGAAGAGAGUCCCCUCCGACACCUGCAGUGCUGGGCUGGCAUCCAUAGAACAGACUGCCGGUUUUACGCUUCACCACAUUUUACCGGAACAUUCUGCAGGAAUCUGACUCCAGCUGGCAGAGAAUCCAGGAAGGACAGGUGUUAGAGGGAGAGCCUUGUACUGCAAAUGCUGGAGAGCCCAGGAUAAUGUGACGACACACUCCCAAUCAGAGUGUGAUGGUGGGGGCGCCAUUACUUCUGCAAGCUGGCUCCAUCAACCAUCUUCAUCCUCUGCUCCUCCUCCUCCUCUCAUCUGUUGGUAUCUGUCUCGAUGAGACAGCGGUCACCUUUUAGCCCUAAUGCGAGUGCCGGCCUUUCGUCCCACCUCCCAUCAAGAUGACAGGGUCAGAGGCAAUCCAACCCAGGAAGUGAUUUUACGCCCUUCACACAUGUGAGGAGCUUUUAAAAGAGCAGAGGGUGAACACAGGAGACGCCAAAGGUGCUGUGAUCCAUGCCGACGGGCCUCAGAUCUUCUGACUGCAAACCCACGGCGUUAUAUGUUCUUGUCUGGUGACCACCACAAAUGUGAAAGUAUUGUUUUAUUUAUAAAACUAUUGACAUUUUCAAUACUUUGUCUAAAGUUUUAAGAGAAGAGUCAAAAGUUUUAAGAGAAUCUUUGACCAGACCAGGACACAUUAACACUUACAUUAAUUGCCCAUUAUUGCCCCAGUAAUUUGUGUUGUUGCGCAUAUUAAAUUUACAAUUUAAUUUAGGCCCAGUUCAACAGCAAUCCACAGAAUCUGCCUUUGUUUAUAUUACAGUAUUUACUGUUAAAAGAAGGUAAAAAAGAAAAAAAACUAUUCACAAUAUAGAAGGUAAAUUCAAGACAUAUUGUCCUUGAAUUUAUUUAAAUUAUCAGGAAGCAGCAACCAUUUCUGGUUAAGUUGUUGACUGUAAACAGGCAGGACAACACAAGCAAUUUUAACUCUAGCAGGUUUGAAUGUCUUGAUGGAAAAUAUUCCAGAAAUGAUCUGGAGUGAAUAUUUUUAACCUCCAUGAUUCCCUGUAUUCAGACCUGUUUUUCUCAUUAUAUUAUAUUAUUUGUCUAAUUAACAAUAUUUGUAAUAUAUUUUUAUUUGAUCAAACUAGAAGUUCAUUCCUAACCAUUAUUGUAAUGUUAAUGUCACAUUUCUUUCCACAGAGAACCAGCAAUAAAGUUCAGUUACUUUGAGGUUUUACUGC